AUUCCAGCUCCAAUAGCGUAUAUUAAAGUUGUUGCGGUUAAAAAGCUCGUAGUUGGAUUUCUGCUGAGGAUGACCGGUCCGCCCUCUGGGUGAGUAUCUGGCUCAGCCUUGGCAUCUUCCUGAAGAACGUAUCUGCACUUGACUGUGUGGUGCGGUAUUUAGGACAUUUACUUUGAGGAAAUUAGAGUGUUUCAAGCAAGCGCACGCCUUGAAUACAUUAGCAUGGAAUAAUAAGAUAGGACCUCGGUUCUAUUUCGUUGGUUUCUAGGACGUAGGUAAUGAUUAAUAGGGACAGUUGGGGGCAUUAGUAUUUAAGUGUCAGAGGUGAAAUUCUUGGAUUGCUUAGAGACUAACUUCUGCGAAAGCAUUUGCCAAGGAUGUUUUCAUCA
rnacentral:rRNA from 1 species